CACGUAGGGCGCAAGCGUUGUCCGGAAUUAUUGGGCGUAAAGAGCUCGUAGGCGGUCUGUUGCGUCUGCUGUGAAAACUCGGGGCUUAACCCCGAGCCUGCAGUGGAUACGGGCAGACUAGAGGUAGGUAGGGGAGAAUGGAAUUCCCGGUGUAGCGGUGAAAUGCGCAGAUAUCGGGAGGAACACCGGUGGCGAAGGCGGUUCUCUGGGCCUUACCGUGACGCUGAGGAGCGAAAGCGUGGGGAGCGAACAGG
rnacentral:rRNA from 1 species